CAGGCCCGGGGGAUCCGGACGCACCGGCAGCCGGACCCUGCCAGGCCCGGGGGAUCCGGACGCACCGGCAGCCGGACCCUGCCAGGCCCAGGCUGCGGGGGCGGGGGGGGGGGAGUUUCUCCCUGGUGAGGAAGGCACCGCCGUGGGGAAGUUCGCCCUGCAGCUCCUGCUGACCUUCUUCCUGGCAUGAGGGCCACGUGGAGAUGAAGUUUGAAAAUGGAGCCUUCUUCUACGACGGUGUCUGCGCUCUGGCACCGCUACCCGCAGGGAGAUGCUCUUUGGCAGGUUAUGGCUCUCUGAUGCCGUCUGUGGUGCACCCAUCCCUGGCAUCGGCGGCUGGGCUGCACUGACUGUGGGAGCUGCUCCUCCUACUGCCCCGACUACGGCGUGUGGGUGCACACCAACCUGCAGCUGGUGAAGGUGAUGCGGCCGCGGUAUCUUGGUGCCCUCGCAGCCUCCAGGACCCCGAGUCAAGCUAUCACCCAACAGCGUCGACCCAAAAAUUGUCACCAGCAGCAAGAUGGCACUCCUGAGCCACCAGAACACCAGGGCAGGUAGGGAGCCUGCCGCGAUAGCCAUGCCCAACUGUGAACCAUGCCCUGGGUAUGGCUGGGGGGUCCUGGUGGGGCCACCUCCAUCUCCGGUUCCUCUCAGCAGUGAGCGGCUGAGGCCGGCUGGUGGCAUGGCAUGGCAGAGCAGCUACUGGGGUGCCCGAUGCAGGGUGCCCCCCCGGCACGGAGACUAACCGCUGCACCAGCGCAGGCACCGCCAGCUUGCGCCUGCUGCUUCCUCCACCACAGGUGACACCAAACCGUCCCGCGGGGAAGCAGAGAGCCAGGGCCGAAGCCCUUCUGCCACCUCGGCAUGCCAGGGUGGGAGCCAGUGGCUGUAGCGUGAGCCCUGUAGCGUUUUCUUGUUCAACAAAAUAUUAUUUUCCAUGUUCUUA